UACGUAGGGUGCGAGCGUUGUCCGGAAUUAUUGGGCGUAAAGAGCUCGUAGGCGGUGUGUCACGUCGGCCGUGAAAACCUGGGGCUUAACUCUGGGCGUGCGGUCGAUACGGGCAUCACUAGAGUUCGGCAGGGGAGACUGGAAUUCCUGGUGUAGCGGUGAAAUGCGCAGAUAUCAGGAGGAACACCGGUGGCGAAGGCGGGUCUCUGGGCCGAUAACUGACGCUGGAGGAGCG
rnacentral:rRNA from 1 species